GCUUAACCGGAGAAGUGCAUCGGAAACCAGGAGACUUGAGUGCAGAAGAGGACAGUGGAACUCCAUGUGUAGCGGUGAAAUGCGUAGAUAUAUGGAAGAACACCAGUGGCGAAGGCGGCUGUCUGGUCUGUAACUGUCGCUGAGGCUCGAAAGCAUGGGUAGCGAACAGGAUUAGAUACCCUGGUAGUCCAUGCCGUAAACGAUGAGUGCUAAGUGUUGGAGGGUUUCCGCCCUUCAGUGCUGCAGCUAACGCAUUAAGCACUCCGCCUGGGGAGUACGACCGCAAGGUUGAAACUCAAAGGAAUUGACGGGGGCCCGCACAAGCGGUGGAGCAUGUGGUUUAAUUCGAUGCUACGCGAAGAACCUUACCAGGUCUUGACAUCUUCUGCCAACCUAAGAGAUUAGGCGUUCCCUUCGGGGACAGAAUGACAGGUGGUGCAUGGUUGUCGUCAGCUCGUGUCGUGAGAUGUUGGGUUAAGUCCCGCAACGAGCGCAACCCUUAUUGUUAGUUGCCAGCAUUCAGUUGGGCACUCUAGCAAGACUGCCGGUGACAAACCGGAGGAAGGUGGGGAUGACGUCAAAUCAUCAUGCCCCUUAUGACCUGGGCUACACACGUGCUACAAUGGACGGUACAACG
rnacentral:rRNA from 1 species